CGGGAUUUAGCGCAGUUGGUAGCGUACUACGUUCGGGACGUAGGGGUCGCUGGUUCGAGUCCAGUAAUCCCGAC
rnacentral:tRNA from 1 species